AUGAACCCCAGCGCCCCCAGCUACCCCAUGGCCUCGCUCUACGUGGGGGACCUCCACCCCGACGUGACCGAGGCGAUGCUCUACGAGAAGUUCAGCCCGGCCGGGCCCAUCCUCUCCAUCCGGGUCUGCAGGGACAUGAUCACCCGCCGCUCCUUGGGCUACGCGUAUGUGAACUUCCAGCAGCCGGCGGACGCGGAGCGUGCUUUGGACACCAUGAAUUUUGAUGUUAUAAAGGGCAAGCCAGUACGCAUCAUGUGGUCUCAGCGUGAUCCAUCACUUCGCAAAAGUGGAGUAGGCAACAUAUUCAUUAAAAAUCUGGACAAAUCCAUUGAUAAUAAAGCACUGUAUGAUACAUUUUCUGCUUUUGGUAACAUCCUUUCAUGUAAGGUAAGCCAAAAAUGUCCGAUACACAUGUUUACAUUGUUGAGCUACAUUUAGUUUAGUGCUUGAAAUAGGAACUGUGCAGUAAUGGAUAUCUUUAUUUCACAAAUAUCCAGGUUAGAUGGCUAACAGAUUGUCUCUCAACACUGAACAAAUGUUAAAUCAAUAGCAAAUAAAGAAAAAUGGGUAUAUGUUUUUCCCUAGGUGGUUUGUGAUGAAAAUGGUUCCAAGGGCUAUGGAUUUGUACACUUUGAGACACAGGAAGCAGCUGAAAGAGCUAUUGAAAAAAUGAAUGGAAUGCUCCUAAAUGAUCGCAAAGUAUUUGUUGGACGAUUUAAGUCUCGUAAAGAACGAGAAGCUGAACUUGGAGCUAGGGCAAAAGAAUUCACCAAUGUUUACAUCAAGAAUUUUGGAGAAGACAUGGAUGAUGAGCGCCUUAAGGAUCUCUUUGGCAAGUUUGGGCCUGCCUUAAGUGUGAAAGUAAUGACUGAUGAAAGUGGAAAA
rnacentral:sRNA from 1 species